CCUACGGGGGGCAGCAGUGAGGAAUUUUGCGCAAUGGGGGAAACCCUGACGCAGCAACGCCGCGUGAGUGAUGAAGGCUUUCGAGUCGUAAAGCUCUGUCAAGUGGGAAGAAUCUAAGAUAGGAUAACACCCUGUUUUACUGACGGUACCACUGAAGGAAGCACCGGCUAACUCCGUGCCAGCAGCCGCGGUAAUACGGAGGGUGCAAGCGUUAUUCGGAAUUAUUGGGCGUAAAGGGCGCGUAGGCGGCUACUUAAGUCAGAUGUGAAAGCCCGGGGCUUAACCCCGGAAGUGCAUUUGAAACUAAGUGGCUUGAGUAUGGGAGAGGGAAGUGGAAUUCCUGGUGUAGAGGUGAAAUUCGUAGAUAUCAGGAGGAACACCGGUGGCGAAGGCGACUUCCUGGACCAAUACUGACGCUGAGGCGCGAAGGCAUGGGGAGCAAACAGGAUUAGAUACCCUGGUANUC
rnacentral:rRNA from 1 species